rnacentral:lncRNA from 1 species
AGAUCCAGCUAUAUACACAUGUUCUUAAUUUAUGUCAGCAAAGGCAUUGAUUAAUGGUCUUAGAUUAUUUGGAUAAACUAUUGCAGUUCAACUGUGCAACUAAAGUAUCGUAUAAAGUGUCACAUUAAACAAGAUGAAAGAUCAUUAAACUGAUUAAGAACUGACCAUGAAAUCUUUAAUGUAAAUGACCACGCCACACUA